rnacentral:rRNA from 1 species
AACGUAGGACACAAGCGUUAUCCGGAGUUACUGGGCGUAAAGGGCGCGCAGGCGGAUCGGUAAGUCUACUCUGAAAGCUCCUGGCUAAACUGGGAGAGGCGAGUGGAGACUGUCGGUCUAGAGUGAGGAAGAGGAAAGUGGAAUUCCGCGUGUAGUGGUGAAAUGCGUAGAGAUGCGGAGGAACACCAGUGGCGAAAGCGGCUUUCUGGUCCUUAACUGACGCUGAGGCGCGAAAGCAUGGGGAGCGAACGGG